AUUGAACGCUAGCGGCAGGCUUAACACAUGCAAGUCGCACGAGUGGCGGACGGGUGAGUAAUGCUUGGGAAUCUAGCUUAUGGAGGGGGAUCACUACGGGAAAAUGUAGCUAAUACCGAGUACCAUAGGAUGAGCCCAAGUGGGAUUAGGGAGUUUGUGAGGUAAAAGAUCACAAAGCCGACGAUCUCUAGCUGGUAUGAGAGGAUGACCAGCAAAACUGGGACUGAGACAAGGCCGAGACUGCUACGGGAGGCAGCAGGGGGGAAUAUUGCGCAAUGGGGGGAACAUGACGCAGCCAUGCAGCGUGAAUGAAGAAGGCCUUCGGGGGGGAAAGUUCUUGCGGGAGCGAGGCGUUAACUACAGAAGAAGUACCGGCUAACUCCGUGCCAGCAGCCGCGGUAAUUC
rnacentral:rRNA from 1 species